CAUUUCAGAGCUGAAAAUGUCGGAAUUGUCAUGGUAAUGCCCAUAGUUGAUGUGACAGAUACUGAGAAGGAAAAACACGCUUGCCACAUGUGAAAACUGCCUGGUUGGUUCUGCUCUGAGUGCCUCUCUGGAGGGCACAUUGAUGGAUUUGACAAUCACUUAAUUCUACUAGAGCCUGACCUUCAGUCUGGAAGUCAGAUAUACGCAGCAGAGACGUAGAUGAUAGCCGCAGGCUGCUGCUGGUGGGAAGCUGACAGAGUCCACUUUAAAGGACUGCCUUCAGUACCAUCUACAUUCUUCUACCUGGGACUGUGUGUGGCCAUGCGGACAGGCUCUCACCUUCACUAAACAAUUCAACUGGGGGCUGCUGCUGCUGUGGUUUGUGCAUGCUCUCUGUUGAGAUGGUUAUUUGGUGCUUAUUCAGCUGGGCUAGAAUGCUGAUUUGUAAAGUGUCAAUCUUCAGAGAACCUUCAUUAACUGGAGGCAAACAGGUUUGAUGUUAGCUGAAUUCCAACUAUCACGACAACCAUUUACACCAGUAAAAUGAACCAGAGAAGUCAGUGUAUCAGAACCUAAGACGGGAAAACUCUAUUGGAUUUCCUUUUACCUUAACUCUUAGG
rnacentral:lncRNA from 1 species